GACGAACGCUGGCGGCGUGCUUAACACAUGCAAGUCGAACGGAAAGGCCCUUCGGGGUACUCGAGUGGCGAACGGGUGAGUAACACGUGGGUGAUCUGCCCUGCACUUUGGGAUAAGCCUGGGAAACUGGGUCUAAUACCGAAUAGGACCGCGCGCUUCAUGGUGUGUGGUGGAAAGCUUUUGCGGUGUGGGAUGGGCCCGCGGCCUAUCAGCUUGUUGGUGGGGUAAUGGCCUACCAAGGCGACGACGGGUAGCCGGCCUGAGAGGGUGACCGGCCACACUGGGACUGGGAUACGGCCCAGACUCCUACGGGAGGCAGCAGUGGGGAAUAUUGCACAAUGGGCGCAAGCCUGAUGCAGCGACGCCGCGUGAGGGAUGACGGCCUUCGGGUUGUAAACCUCUUUCACCAGGGACGAAGCGCAAGUGACGGUACCUGGAGAAGAAGCACCGGCCAACUACGUG
rnacentral:rRNA from 1 species